UGGGGAAUUUUGGACAAUGGGCGCAAGCCUGAUCCAGCAAUGCCGCGUGCAGGAUGAAGGCCUUCGGGUUGUAAACUGCUUUUGUACGGAACGAAAAGCUUCUGGUUAAUACCUGGGAGUCAUGACGGUACCGUAAGAAUAAGCACCGGCUAACUACGUGCCAGCAGCCGCGGUAAUACGUAGGGUGCGAGCGUUAAUCGGAAUUACUGGGCGUAAAGUGUGCGCAGGCGGUUAUGUAAGACAGAGGUGAAGUCCCCGGGCUCAACCUGGGAACUGCCUUUGUGACUGCAUGGCUAGAGUGCGGCAGAGGGGGAUGGAAUUCCGCGUGUAGCAGUGAAAUGCGUAGAUAUGCAGAGGAACACCGAUGGCGAAGGCAAUCCCCUGGGCCUGCACUGACGCUCAUGCACGAAAGCGUGGGGAGCAAACA
rnacentral:rRNA from 1 species